UACGAGAGGCCCAAACGUUAUUCGGAAUUACUGGGCUUAAAGAGUUCGUAGGCGGCGCAGUAAGUAGGGUGUGAAAGCCCUCGGCUUAACCGAGGAAUUGCGCCCUAAACUACUGUGCUUGAGGAACCUAGAGGUGAGCAGAACAGAUGGUGGAGCGGUGAAAUGCGUUGAUAUCAUCUGGAAUACCGGAGGCGAAGGCGGCUCACUGGGGGUUUUCUGACGCUGAGGAACGAAAGCCAGGGUAGCGAACGGG
rnacentral:rRNA from 1 species